rnacentral:lncRNA from 1 species
UUCAAGGCAUUCAAAGCAUUCAAGUUUAAUUCAAUUUCAAAUAAAAUGCGUUUUGGAGGGAAACAUGUGUUUCUUAGAAUACAAGUCAUGUGCUACAAUUCAAGGGGCUAUUUCCAUUACAAAACCUUCAAAGUUCAUUACAAAAGCAAAAAUACAAAAUUCUUUACAAAAAAUGUUACUUUGACCUAGAGUUGACUUUUGGUCAACUGUUAACUUUUUGGUCAAACAAUUUACCAAAGUCCACUAACUAUCCUAGACCUAUUCUUCUUCAUCUUCAUCAAUCUUCAUCAUAAUCAUAUCCAUGAUCUUCAAACUUCCAAAUGCACCUCAU